rnacentral:rRNA from 2 species
GUUUCGGUGGUCAUAGCGUUAGGGAAACGCCCGGUUACAUUCCGAACCCGGAAGCUAAGCCUUUCAGCGCCGAUGGUACUGCAUG